CGUUGAAAAGCCUGUUCCCAUACAAUCACCAAAGAUAAGCAACGUAGAGCUUGGCCAGUACCUGGAAGGGUGACCACUUGGAAAUACUAGGUAUUGUAA